AGAGGCGUAGCGCAGUGGGAGGAUGCUAGGUUCACAUCACAGAGGUCGUUGGAUCGAAACCACCCGUUGCUG